rnacentral:rRNA from 1 species
UACCAGCACCCCGAGUGGUCGGGACGUUUAUUGGGCCUAAAGCCUCCGUAGCCGGUUCUACGAGUCUUCCGUUAAAUCCAACUGCUUAACAGGUGGGCUGCGGAAGAUACUAUAGAGCUAGGAGGCGGGAGAGGCAAGCGGUACUCGAUGGGUAGGGGUAAAAUCCGUUGAUCCAUUGAAGACCACCAGUGGCGAAGGCGGCUUGCCAGAACGCGCUCGACGGUGAGGGAUGAAAGCUGGGGGAGCAAACCGG